AUACAGAGGGUGCGAGCGUUAAUCGGAAUUACUGGGCGUAAAGCGCGCGUAGGCGGCUUGGUCAGUCGGAUGUGAACGCCCCGGGCUCAACCUGGGAAUGGCAUUCGAUACUGCCAGGCUAGAGUAUGGGAGAGGGAAGUGGAAUUUCCGGUGUAGCGGUGAAAUGCGUAGAUAUCGGAAGGAACACCAGUGGCGAAGGCGACUUCCUGGCCCAAUACUGACGCUGAGGUGCGAAAGCGUGGGGAGCGAACAGGAUUAGAAACCCUAGUAGUCC
rnacentral:rRNA from 1 species